AUAUAAGCGAAGAGGUCUGGAAAGGCCCGCCAAAGAAGGUAACAGCCCUGUAACUGAAAUGUUGUUCUCUCCAGAGUGGAUCCUGAGUACGGCGGAACACGUGAAAUUCCGUCGGAAUCCGGGAGGACCAUCUCCCAAGGCUAAAUACUCCCUAGUGACCGAUAGUGAACCAGUACCGUGAGGGAAAGGUGAAAAGCACCCCGGAAGGGGAGUGAAAUAGAUCCUGAAACCGUGUGCCUACAAGUAGUCAGAGCCCGUUAAAGGGUGAUGGCGUGCCUUUUGUAGAAUGAACCGGCGAGUUACGAUCCCGUGCAAGGUUAAGCAGAAGAUGCG
rnacentral:rRNA from 1 species